rnacentral:misc_RNA from 1 species
GAUGAAGAACGUAGCGAAAUGCGAUAAGUAAUGUGAAUUGCAGAAUUCAGUGAAUCAUCGAAUCUUUGAACGCACAUUGCGCCCGCCAGUAUUCUGGCGGGCAUCCCUGUUCGAGCGUCAUUUCAACCAUCAAGCCCCCGGCUUGUGUUGGGGACCUGCGGCUGCCGCAGGCCCUGAAAACCAGUGGCGGGCUCGCUAGUCACUCCGAGCGUAGUAAUACAUCUCGCUCAGGGCGUGCUGCGGGUUCCGGCCGUUAAAAAGCCUUAUUUACCCAAGGUUGACCUCGGAUCAGGUAGGAAGACCCGCUGAACUUAAGCAUAUCAAUAAGCGGAGGA